UCCCCUUGGUGAACCCAUGCUGACUACUCCUGAUAACCUCCUUUUCUCCCAGUUGUCUGGAGAUGGUAUCCAGCAAGUGACAAGUGACACAUGAGCAUCACUGCUAAAACUCAGCACUCUGGGGAGCUGAGAGAGUCUGUAUGUCUUAGUUUCAGCUGGAAUAUAAUUGUUUUUGUGUGAGUGUCUGGUAUGAUGGUCUGUUUUGGUUCUAGGAGACAAAUAAUGUUGAUAACACACUGAUUUUUCUAGUUGCAACUAAGAAGUGUUGUAUGGAAUCUUAGAAUCCUAGAACAGCCUGGGUUGAAAAGGAACACAAUGAUCAUCUCAUUUCAACCCCCUGCUGUGUGCAGGGUCCUUCACCACCAGAGUCCAGAGCCACAUUCAGCCUGGCCUUGAAUGCCUCCGGGGAUGGGACAUCCACAGCCUCUUUGGGCAACCUGUUCCAGUGCCUCACCAGCUCUGUGUAUGGGGACAAAGCCAUUCACAGCGAGGGCCCGAGGAGCUGGGAGGGAGUGAAUUAGGACAGCUGACCUAACAUGACCAAAGGGAUAUUCCAUACCGUAUGAUACCAAGCAGAAGGAGUUUUGAAGAGGAUGAGAGUUCAUCUCUCUCUUUCUCUCUCUCUGCUGCUGCUGGGGGCUAGGUAGAUAUUAGUUGUGGGGUAGUAAGCAAUUGCUCGUGCAUCACUUUGUUAAUAUAUUCAUAUUUAUGCAUAAACAUAAUUAUUAUCCUUUUCUCUGUCUUGUCAACCCACAAGUUUUACUUACGUUUUUUUUUCCCCCCGAUUCUCUCCACCAUCCCACUGGGAAGGGAGGAGGAGUGAGCAAAAAACUGUCACGUUUAUCCACCUGCUGGCUUAAAUCACAAUUUUAAAAUUGGCAUGCUGUUGCUGUGACACUGAGAAGUGUGUGGGCAUUUGACAGAACUUUAAAUAUGUUAACUUAAGGUGAGUUCCUUCUCCUGUAGAAAAUUAAAUAGGAAAAAAAAAAAAAUUAAGGGGAAACGUAGUGUAAUCUUUAAUGAUUGUAUUGACCAGGCUGCAUCACGGAUGUUAGACCACGUUUGGGAAUACAGCAUGUAGUGAAAGCAUGAGUUACGUAGCUGAAGAAAGCUCCCAUAAGUUUGCAAAUAUGCCUGCCACAGGAAAUGUGAAGAGAAGGUGGUGACACCUUGCUUUCUUCUGAGCGGCUACAAACUGGCGAAUAACUUGGAAGCCUUUGAAAAUCAUGUAACCAGAACUAAUUCCAGCAGCGUUUUGAAGAACUCCUUCAGUUGUGACAAAGGAUCACAGUAGGUAUUUCUUUAAUAUUUG